rnacentral:snRNA from 1 species
UUACUCUGGCUUUCCUGCACAAACGUGUAAAUCUUUCGCCUUUUACUAAAGAUUUCCGUGCAGAGGAGCAAAUUUAAUGAGUCUAAAUCUCAAUUUUUCAAGCCCUACAUUGUAGGGU